rnacentral:rRNA from 1 species
UACCGAGGGGGCAAGCGUUAUUCGGAAUUAUUGGGCGUAAAGGGCGCGUAGGCGGCUUGGCAAGUGGAAGGUGAAAUCCCUCGGCUUAACCGAGGAACUGCCCUCCAAACUGCUUUGCUUGAGGCCGGGAGAGGUGAGUGGAAUUCCCAGUGUAGCGGUGAAAUGCGUAGAUACAAUCAAGAACUCCGAUUGCGUAGGCAGCUAACUAGGCUGUAACUGACGCUGAGGCACGAAAGCGUGUGGAGCGAACAGG